UACGUAGGGGCGAGCGUUAUCCGGAAUUAUUGGGCGUAAAGGGUUCGCAGGCGGCCUUGUAAGUCAGAUGUGAAAGACAGCGGCUUAACCGUUGUAAGCAUUUGAAACUGCAGGGCUUGAGUACAGGAGAGGAAAGCGGAAUUCCUAGUGUAGCGGUGAAAUACGUAGAUAUUAGGAGGAACACCAGUGGCGAAGGCGGCUUUCUGGACUGAUACUGACGCUGAGGAACGAAAGCGUGGGGAGCAAACAGGAUUAGAUACCCUGGUAGUCCCUGA
rnacentral:rRNA from 1 species